UAAAAAACAAAACAAAAACCUAAAUAGUGCAAGCAACUCCCAAACGCAACAAAACGAAACAAGGCAAGAACGAGGAGCUGAAACAGAAACCCUUUGGAACUUGAACCAAAGAGACAUUGCCGAAACCAAACAAACACCGAAGAUGGUGGCCAGAGACGAUCAUAGAGGCAUCACGGAGCUAAACCAGAGGAACCGAAGCACACAAAGAUCUGGAAGAAGACCUGAGCGACCAAGAAAGCACCGACGAAUGUCAAGAAACCACCAUGCCGCCGACCCACAUCCGAGAAAACCAGACUCUACCAACGCAAAUCAAGCAGCAAACGGUCCCACAAAAGAGGCCGACUCCCUAGCAAAUGCGACGUGACGAUCCCUUUCCACGACCUGUAGAGCAAAGUCAGGGACUCCGCUCCUCUCAAAACUACGUCCCCCACCCCUAGAGGUGUGGGCCACGGAAUUUCCUCCAUGGGAAACAUGCAUGAAAUGACAAUAGCAGAAGCAUCUGACUAAAGCCUUGAUAUCCCGAAUGUAUGGCCCAAUAACUGACUCAUCAUGGAUAGGGGAGUUAAUCUUUUGAAUGACAAUAAGGGAAUCACCUUCAAAGAUUGCUUCCUGUAAGCCCGAAUCAAUCCCCAAACAAAAAGCAUGGUAGCAGGCCAAAGCUUCAGCUGCAAAAGCGGACCGCAACAUAGGCACAUGGAAAGCAGCAUCAAAGUUUAGUUUAAAACAAGGUCGUUCAGGAGGCCGCCAACGCUCAGAACCAAUCGGACGCCCAAGCAACUUCACAUGCACUGCGCCAAGCUCCAGCAGUGCCACUGAAGUAGAUCGAGGAUCGUCGCCUACGUAGUUGAAGCCAGUCACACUAUCCUUGAAGCACUUGGUAUAGCUAGUUUUAUCUUUUGAUUAUGGCAUGUAUAGGAACCUUUGAUUUUAUUUUUGCGUCACAUUGUUUUGGGGCCAAAGGUAUUGGCUUGUUUUAACAUUUGACUCAUUUUGUAUAAGGCUAAGGAAAAUGGCUAAUAUUGUAAGUUAUUAUAUGGAUGCAAGAUAGUCUUUUACAAAUGUGAAAUGUUUAUAGGCCUUAA